CUGCGCUAAGGUAGCAUAAUAAUUUGUUUUUUUAUUGAAAACUGGGAUAAAAGAUUAGACGUGGAGAUCACUUUUUUAGAGUAGCCAAAAGAAAAUUUUCAGAAUGUAAAAAAACUUUCUAAAUUUAGAGGGACGACAAGACCCAAAAAUCUGUAAUUUUAAACUUAUUAUAAGAAAUCCAAUAGGUUAUAAAACCUUACUGGGGUGGUAAUUUCUACUAACAAUUUAAAUCAAACCAUAUUGUAUGAUAUUAAGCUCCCCCUAUGUUAAAUAUUAAGAUACUUUAGGGAUAACAGCGUAAUUCCACCCUAGAGACCUGAUCGCCCGGGGAGAUUGCGACCUCGAUGUUGAAAUUAGAAAGC
rnacentral:rRNA from 1 species